GACGAACGCUGGCGGCGUGCCUAAUACAUGCAAGUCGAGCGCAGGAAACUGACGGAACUCUUCGGAGGGAAGGCAGCGGAAUGAGCGGCGGACGGGUGAGUAACACGUAAGGAACCUGCCUCAAGGGUUGGGAUAACUCCGAGAAAUCGGAGCUAAUACCGGAUAGUUCAUCGGACCGCAUGGUCCGUUGAUGAAAGGCGCUCCGGCGUCACCUUGAGAUGGCCUUGCGGUGCAUUAGCUAGUUGGUGGGGUAACGGCCCACCAAGGCGACGAUGCAUAGCCGACCUGAGAGGGUGAUCGGCCACACUGGGACUGAGACACGGCCCAGACUCCUACGGGAGGCAGCAGUAGGGAAUCUUCCACAAUGGACGUAAGUCUGAUGGAGCAACGCCGCGUGAGUGAUGAAGGUUUUCGGAUCGUAAAACUCUGUUGUAAGGGAAGAACACGUACGAGAGGAAAUGCUCGUACCUUGACGGUACCUUACGAGAAAGCCACGGCUAACUACGUGCCAGCCGCCGCAGUAA
rnacentral:rRNA from 1 species